GUGCGGUUGUAUUCGGAUCUCUGUGAGCGGUGUGUGCCGGUAGUGGCGGCCAAGGGUUUCGUGCCGCCAACGGCGGCGGCGGGUGUAGCAGCGGCGGCGGGUGCAGCAGCAACAGCACCCGCUGCUGGUAGUGGUAAGGCGCCUGUGGUGGCGGGGGUGUAGGGACGGAGGAAAGUACAGAGGGUGGGAGAUGGAGGCCACAGGGGUUCGACAGGUGGGCAACUAGGCCCUCUUCUCUGUUUGUGUGUGUGUGUGUGCAUGUGUGUGUAUGUGUGUGUAUAUGCGUGUGUACGGGGAAGGCGGGAAAGUGGAAAUGGUGGCGAUGGUUGUUGACGGUGUGCUACCCGGGCAUGCGAGGUUGAAUCAAUCCAGGUGGUGUAGGUGUUGUUGUUGUUGUUUGUCUUAAGACGUAGGAUUGGCCAAAAUCUUGAAUUGGGUACUGUUCGGGAGAUAGGGGCGUGAUGUGUGUGUGGCACACGCGCGUCCCGCGUUCGAUACCGAAUGUGUCUUCAGACGGCACGCGGCGUUGGUGCCCCUGUUAUUACUGCUGCUGCUGCUGCGUAUAUCCUUUUCCUUUGCUUAUAAACCGCGAGGUGGUUCCGCGGCUGGCUAGGUGUUGGGGGUAUUUCAGGGACAGGUUGGCAAGGGGAUGGGCGGGAGGGGGCACCUGAAACCAGGACAAGCUGUUUAUACGGAAGGUGUACGGAACUGAUUCGAAAGGAAAGGUGAAAGCUAUAUCCUAUGGUGGGUCUAGGGAUGUGCGUGAUUGCGACUCUGUGUGUGUGUGUGUUUAUGUGCGAGUGAGAAUACAUCUUAUUUGAGUUAGGUUCACUUUAGGGAUAUGCUGUGUGGGUGUACGUAUGUAUGUAUGUAUCUAUGUAUGUUGUCUAUGUAUGUAUGUUUUGUAGGUGUAUGUGCCCCUCUCUGCCUCCUCCUUUUGGAAUGGGGGUGAUGAUGAAAGGCGAGAAGGGGAAGCUGUGCGUUUUAAAAUUCGCUGCGUUGCAUCGCGUGCUGUGUUUGGGCCGGGUCGGGGAUGGGGUGUGUGCGAAAUCGGGGAUGGGGGUUUGUGUGGGUUGGUGAGCAGCCGGUGGGCUAUACAAGAGGCGCACGUGAGAAAUUCAAGUGGCCAGGGCGGAGAGGCGAAUGGAGGAACAGUUCCUAUGGAGGUGCAGGAGGAAAAUAUUUGUGAAGAGUGUGUGUAUACCGAAGGGUGUGUUAAGGAAGAUUAGCAGGUCAAGGUGAUCACUGAUGAGAGUCUGCGCACAAAAGAUUCACUGGGAUGGAAGACGGAUGAAAGGAUUUCCAGGUCUGUCGGGCGAAGCAGCAACCAGUCCUGGACAUUCUUUCCUUGUGGAUUCUAGCCUCUACCCAAGCAUAAAAGAUACGGAUUUUGCAACGAAGCCAAGUUUAUGAGACCCGUCCUUCAGGAAACAAAACACGGGGUGACGUGCAACGAUGGAAUAAAGGGAAAACAGCAAAUCCCCUAGAUGGAAAAAGGCAACAAACAAAACAUAAUUGACGACCCAGCCACAUCACUGUAUCAUACCUGUGGUGUGUGGAUGAUCUAUGCGCGCGCAAGCUCUCAUGGAUACGCGCUUCCUAACACCAUGCAACCACUCUAACCGCCUGUCAAGAACGAAUAAAACGAAUCCUGUUAUAACGCUGAACUCUAACGGCCACGGGUGGAAAACACAAACAAAAUCCUAAAAAUCGGUCAGUCGCUCGUGGAAUUGGAUAUUGGGACCCUCAGUCGGUAUUACGACAAUCUCCCCAAGCAUCGCUAAGCUCGUUUACACGUCGGUCACGAGUCCGAGACCCACUCCAGCGCUCACACCUCCUCUCUAGUUUACCAAGGAAGCAGCGCGCCCGGGACAAAGUGAGCUGCCUGCCUUUGGCAAUGUUUGGCAGGGAGACGCGUGCGGGUGAAGGUUCUGAUCAAAACCGCCCCCUCGAAAUCUUCCCUUUCCCAACGUUCGGUAUUCGCUCGUCCCGAGACACUUAAUUUGGAGGCUGCACUGAAGGCGGUCGCUGCGUGUCCUCCUGCUGCUGCUGCUCCUGAGCCGCAAGCACGUCCUCGGCCCGGAGCCUUGUCCGCUGCGCACCACUUUGCAGCUCCUGUCCGGUUUGCUGUGCCCGGGCGUCUGCAUCAACCUGAAAGUGGUAAACACGGUUGCGCACAGAAAAUUAGAUGCUAUCUGUGGAGGCAUAGUGCGGGGAUGAUUGUGAUAGGAUUGCGCCUUGCAAAACGGGUGGCCGACGCGGAAAACAUUGAAGCGCUCACCAAGUCGGCAGGCUCUUCCAAGCCUUUCAUAAUCGCUAGAGCUCCUACGAAGGUCGCGCCGACUGUGGCACCGACUGCAAAAAGGAAAUUAACAGCCAGUCAGCAAGGCUACUACCACAACGUCUCCCUGUCAGAGCCUUAGGUUGCGAUAUACUGGACUAUCAUACCUAACGCAGCAGCGCUACCCACGCUGACCCAAAUAGUUGAGGCAUCCUCAACGCCGGUCGGCAUUUUCUUGAAAUAUCCAAGAGCUUCAGGCUUUCACAUUACCUAUAUCCGCAUAAAUCAUACUGUGCACAAAGUCUGGAAAGAUGGAUUUGCUGCUUUUGAUGUGCGUCGCUUUUUCGCAUAUGACCCACGGACGCUCAGCAUGGGCUAACGGAGAAAACUGUGUCACACCCAUACGCACGAUCUCCAUCCUUCAAAAUCUUCCUGCAUUCCUACAUCAUCCAAUUAAAAGAUCGAUACUCACCGUAACAUUAGCAGCUGAAACUGUAUGCUUCUCUUAGCUGGAGGGGAUCACCAAGGCGCGUAAUCCACCGUAAAUUUGACAGAUUGACAUUUCCAUGCUGGCUCAAACGCUCAAACACAACCAAACCUCAAUAUUUAUAAAUAAUGCAGGGCAUACAAAAUCACCAGCAGCCUCGGUGUAGACGGCUUAACAUCGGUGCAUACGGCUUAACCCAGCACUCGUUAGUCUUCCAAGAUACGUUCGCGCAAUUAAUGUCCUGCCGUACCAUACCAUAUGCAACCUCCACUCGUCCCGGACAGACACCACCAGACGCACACCCCUCAACGCACGCCGUGGGUGGAAUGGGACGCGGGCCUAAGCCUGAAUCCAACGGCUCAACCUUCCCUUCCGCCUUCUUGUUGUUGUUAUUACAGCGGGCUACCAAGUUUCUAUACCGUAAUGCAAAGAAACCGAGCAGGGCACAUCACCUGUCGUUCAUUCCACUGGGUUCUGGAUCCUAUUUCGUCCUACCGGACGUACGGGACCGACUCCUGAAACAUCAAUUAUCGAAUGAUUGGGUGCGUGCGACGGUGCCGAUGCCGGACACUGUGUGGCAAGAAGAAAAGAGGACGGAGAAAACCUGAGGCUUCAAAUCCGGCAUUGGCUUUAUCGUGCAGAAAUGCGCACACACGUGCUUCGCAGCAGGACGAGGGGGCCGGGCAUGUGAAAUCGCUUUGGACUUCAUUGACUAAUCCGUUAGGUAACGAUUGUAGAUGGCGAGUGUGGUGCGCGGUGUUCGGGCUCUGGGUGGUCGGUGGCGAUGUUGCCAGAUACGGCGCAGCGUGUGACUGAUGUCGUCGCUGUGAGAGUUUCCUAUGAUACGUAGGUAGGUUAAAAGGUAGCUUUUACUGGGCUUGUGGCCCAGGAGCCCCGUGGCUGUUGUUACGCACUACGCCCUGGUUCAAUUCAACAGGGGACCACAAACGGGGCCGCUUAAGGCACAUGAUCAGUCAAUCAUGCCUCUGCAAAGCGCUUUGAAAUGUGCAAGCGUUUGGCCAAAGCGCAUAUUAAGCGUUUAUUAAACGGGAUGCGCACAUGGCUCUAUUGGGGGCAGACAAUUUUGCAG
rnacentral:lncRNA from 1 species